rnacentral:misc_RNA from 1 species
GAUGAAGAACGUAGCGAAAUGCGAUAAGUAAUGUGAAUUGCAGAAUUCCGUGAAUCAUCGAAUCUUUGAACGCACAUUGCGCCCCCUGGCAUUCCGGGGGGCAUGCCUGUCCGAGCGUCAUUUCUGCCCUCAAGCACGGCUUGUGUGUUGGGUGUGGUCCCCCCGGUGACCUGCCCGAAAGGCAGCGGCGACGUCCGUCUGGUCCUCGAGCGUAUGGGGCUCUGUCACUCGCUCGGGAAGGACCUGCGGGGGUUGGUCACCACUAUAUUUUACCACGGUUGACCUCGGAUCAGGUAGGAGUUACCCGCUGAACUUAAGCAUAUCAAUAAGCGGAGGA